rnacentral:lncRNA from 1 species
UUUAGAGUUUUUAGAAGAACUGUGUAUCUCACUGAUUAUAGUGGAAGUUUUUUUCUCUGGCUUAGUCUCAUGAUUUUUUUCGUUUCUGGAUUUUUCACGUAAAAUUUCUGAUGUUCUUUUGUGCAGUAUGAUUUGUCUUUGUUAUUGAUACCGGUUAUUAUUAGUUGCUUGUAUUUUUUUUAACAAACUGAUAGUAGAAAUCAUUUAAUCUCAUAAAAAGAAAAAAUCAACUUGCUUGUUUUUUCUAAUACAUAUAGAUAGUUUCAGAAAGAUAACCAUGUAGAGAGGCAUUUUUAACAUCAAGUUACUGAAUAGGCCACUCCUCUGA